AGGUGGGAGGAUUGCUUGAGCCUGGGAGGUGGAGGUUGCAGUGAGCCAAGAUCGCACCACUGCGCUCCAGCCUGGGUGACAGAGUGAGACCUUGUCUC
rnacentral:miRNA from 1 species